UACGUAGGUGGCAAGCGUUGUCCGGAAUUAUUGGGCGUAAAGCGCGCGCAGGUGGUUUCUUAAGUCUGAUGUGAAAGCCCACGGUUCAACCGUGGAGGGUCAUUGGAAACUGGGGAACUUGAGUGCAGAAGAGGAAAGUGGAAUUCCAAGUGUAGCGGUGAAAUGCGUAGAGAUUUGGAGGAACACCAGUGGCGAAGGCGACUUUCUGGUCUGUAACUGACACUGAGGCGCGAAAGCGUGGGGAGCGAACAGG
rnacentral:rRNA from 1 species